rnacentral:lncRNA from 1 species
GAAGAUUCUAAUGGAUGCUCUGAACAAUUAGAGGGCCUCUUCAGCUGCUUUUUCAGUUUGAAGUUAUGAUUGGAGGAGACCUCGAAAUUCAGCUGUGUGCAGUAUUUACAGGGAAUGAUGAUGCGUUUAUGGAGAUACAAAUUCUGGAGAAAGACUGGAUUUGGAGGAGAAAGACCAUGAUGGGGAAAAAUCAGAAAUGAGAAACAUCCUGCAAAUAGAGAAAUGGGAACAACUGAAAGAACCAGGCCCCACAGGAGAUGGUAUCAACUGGUCAUGUUCUUCCCAACGUGUAUUCUGGUUUAGGGUAAAAUGGAUCCCAGUGGAGUCUGAGAGAAUGGAUCAGUUCAACCCCUCUAAGAGCUUGACCUCUAAGCAUAGAGGUGGAGCCGACUGCUUUCCCAUCCAUCAGUUCUCUUUCAACCUGAUGUGGAGAUGAUGACAAAAAGAAUGGACUUUAACAAGAAGUAUUUAACAUUCAAAGCCAGCCUCCUGACUUGACACUAUCCUCCUAGAUUUGGAGGCUUUUUGUUUUCAUAUCUUCAGUGACACCUAGGAAAGUGCUUAACAUGUAUGUAAUGCUUAAUAAAGAUUUGCUUAAAAUUUUUUUGUUUUUAGUGUGGUAAAAUAUACAUAACAUAAAUUUACCAUUUUAAUCAUUUUAAGUGUACUAUUUAGGGGUAUUAAGUACACUCACAAUGUUGUACAACCAUUACCACUAGCCAUUUCCAGAGCUUUUUCAUCAUCGCAAACAGAAACUUUGUACACGUUACACAAUAGCUCCCCCUUCUCCCUCCAGCCCUGGUAAUCUCUAGUCUACUUUCCGUCUCUAUGAGUUUGCCUCUUGUAGGUACUUUAUACAAGUG